rnacentral:rRNA from 1 species
GUUGAACGCUGGCAGCAUGCCUUACACAUGCAAGUCGAACGGCAGCGGGGGAGAAGCUUGCUUUUCCUGCCGGCGAGUGGCGAACGGGUGAGUAAUACAUCGGAACGUGCCCUGUAGUGGGGGAUAACUAGUCGAAAGAUUAGCUAAUACCGCAUACGACCUGAGGGUGAAAGUGGGGGACCGCAAGGCCUCAUGCUAUAGGAGCGGCCGAUGUCUGAUUAGCUAGUUGGUGGGGUAAAGGCCUACCAAGGCGACGAUCAGUAGCUGGUCUGAGAGGACGAGCGGCCACACUGGACUGAGACACGGCCCAGACUCCUACGGGAGGCAGCAGUGGGGAAUUUUGGACACUGGGCGAAAGCCUGAGCCAGCAAUGCCGCGUGGGUGAAGAAGGCCUUCGGGUUGUAAAGCACUUUUGUCCGGAAAGAAAUGGCUCGGGUUAAUACCUGGGGUCGAUGACGGUACCGGAAGAAUAAGGACCGGCUAACUACGUGCCAGCAGCCGCCGUAA